UUUAUCGUACUUUGCAGUGUUUUCCUGGUGUUUCCACGUGUUUCUAAACUCAGACGUGUAGAUAAGAGUAGAAUGAGUAAGAAAAAUAAGAGAAAUAGAGGAGGAAGAGGAAGGGAGAAGGAAUAGAGGAGGUGAUAAAACAGGAAAAUGCUAAGAAAACAAUAUUUAGGUUAAUUUUUCCUGCUGCCCUGUUUGUCUUUGUAGUAUUUGUCUUCCGUGACAGUGCUUUCAGUGUAUUUGGUGUGUUUAGGGGCUGUUGGAGUGUGUCUGGAGGUGUUAAGGGGGUGUGCGCGCACACACACACACCUCUCUCUCUCUCUCUCUCUCUCUCUCUCUCUCUCUCUCUCUCUCUCUCUCUCUCUCUCUCUCUCUCUCUCUCUCUCUCUCUCUCUAUAUAUAUAUAUAUAUAUAUAUAACCUAAAUUCUGUAUUUGGAAAGUGGCAGUUUUGCAUAAUAUUUGGAAUAAUUACAUAUGUACGAUAAUUUUACCAGAAGUAUAAUAAUUUCAACCUGUGUAGUACGAUAUGGCCAAAACAAUCUGGCAGGCAUCACUCAUAGCCAAGUCGUGCUUAAAGACAGGCAGGAUGGUGACCGAGGUAAAUACUUUAAUUUUGUAGUAAAAACUGAUUGUCAUAUUGCCAAGUUAAUUGCAUGUAUUGUAAUGAAUAUUGUAAUAUAUUGAAAGUGUUUAAUAUCAGUGUAUGAUGUUAUUUUGUAAGAAAUUGAGACUGAGAACUUGUUCGCAGUUCUUACGGUCAUGCCUACCUCAUCAAUAAACAUGUCAGGAAGAACUAUCUUUUCUCGACCCUACGAUGAUGGGUGUGAUCAGUAAAACAGAUCACCUGAGAGCCAAUUGAUGCCCAGCCGGUGCGGCUACAAUGGGAGUUAUUUCUCUUAGUAGGCUAUGGAGGGCGCGCUCUCCUUUUCCAGCAGAGACUAUCUUUGUACUAGAAGGAUACAGUGAUAUAUCAGUUUGCAAGCCUUGACAGUGGAAGAAGUUAACACCUUAAGCAGAUACAGAUAUUACUGUUUUGUCAUGAAAUGCCAUCUUUAUUUACCUUCUUCAGUUCCAUUUUGUAAUUACCAAAGUACCAAAAUUUGAUUUGUGUAGCAAAUGACACAUACACUGUUUAUGAGAUUUUUUUGUGGCUUUAUUAGAGAAAUAUUUUUGCAGAGUAUGUAGUGUACUGAUAAUAUAUGACUCUAAAAAUGGUU